CCCAUCCCCAAAGGCACUGCAAAUACCUUAUCCCCAGUAUUUCCAGUAUUGGUAUCCUCCAAAGUUUAAUAGGAUAUGGCCGAAUAUUUCUUCCCUUGAGGUUUCUAACCCAAAACAAGUGCUCCCAAAUUAGCUUUGUCAACAGUUUCUUCUGUUCAAGUUGCAAACCACAAGAGAGGAAUGUCUGCGACAACGAGCUCCUGCACUGCCAGAACGGAGGGACGUGCCACAACAACGUGCGCUGCCUGUGCCCGGCCGCAUACACGGGCAUCCUCUGCGAGAAGCUGCGGUGCGAGGAGGCUGGCAGCUGCGGCUCCGAC
rnacentral:lncRNA from 1 species